rnacentral:rRNA from 1 species
AAUAUUGCACAAUGGGCGCAAGCCUGAUGCAGCCAUGCCGCGUGUAUGAAGAAGGCCUUCGGGUUGUAAAGUACUUUCAGCAGUGAGGAAGGUGGAUAUGUUAAUAGCAUACUCAUUUGACGUUAGCUGCAGAAGAAGCACCGGCUAACUCCGUGCCAGCAGCCGCGGUAAUACGGAGGGUGCGAGCGUUAAUCGGAAUUACUGGGCGUAAAAGCGCAUGCAGGUGGUUUGUUAAGUCAGAUGUGAAAGCCCGGGGCUCAACCUCGGAAUUGCAUUUGAAAACUGGCAAACUAGAGUACUGUAGAGGGGGUAGAAUUUCAGGUGUAGCGGUGAAAUGCGUAGAGAUCUGAAGGAAUACCGGUGGCGAAGGCGGCCCCCUGGACAGAUACUGACACUCAGAUGCGAAAGCGUGGGGAGCAAACAGGAUUAGAUACCCUGGUAG